CAGUGAAGUUGAAAUUGAAUGGAGCAUGUUGAAAUUAGAGCUAUAUAACAGAUUUCAGAACAUCCAGACCUUGACAUGGGAUUCGGUGAAUGCACAUUAUUCAAAGAAGUAUCCCAGUAUCCUGGCAUUGGUAGAUCUGAUCCUAACUCUGCCAGCAAGCUCAGCUGAAAUAGACCAAGGCUCUGGAAAAGAAAGUCAUCAUGAUGCAUCUGCACUCUAAACUGAUGUCUGAAAGUGUGACAAUGGAUCUUAUGACAAUCCAGAUGAAUUCUCCAGAUAUCAAAAAAUUUGACCCCCAACAAGCUAUUCAUUUGUGGAAUACUACUUGGCAGAAAAAUAGUAUGCUUAAGGCAGAUGAUAUGAUGAUAAAUAAAAGAUCAGUUUGCUUCUCUGAGUUUGAUUUGGAGAAUCAGGGUGGAAGUGAUUAGAUGAUUUCCUUCAAAAUCAUUCUUGUAACAUCUAUGGACACUUUACCAACAUAUCUUGCAAGAUUAAUGAGUGUUAAAUCUCUAUCUUUUCCAUAAUGUACUACAAUUUUUAAAAAUAACUUUUCUUUCUA
rnacentral:lncRNA from 1 species